CAGGCUUAACACAUGCAAGUCGAGGGGCAGCAUGAAGGUUAGCAAUAACCUUUGAUGGCGACCGGCGCAAGGGUGCGUAACGCGUGAGCAACUUGCCCGUUUCAGGGGGAUAACCGGUGGAAACGCCGACUAAUACCCCAUGGCAUCAUUGGGAGGCAUCUCCUUAUGAUUAAAGAAUUUCGGAAACGGAUAGGCUCGCGUGACAUUAGGUAGAUGGCGGGGUAACGGCCCACCAUGCCUACGAUGUCUAGGGGUUCUGAGAGGAAGGUCCCCCACACUGGAACUGAGACACGGUCCAGACUCCUACGGGAGGCAGCAGUGAGGAAUAUUGGUCAAUGGAGGCAACUCUGAACCAGCCAAGUAGCGUGAGGGAUGACUGCCCUACGGGUUGUAAACCUCUUUUGUCGGGGAAUAAACCGCGCCACGUGUGGCGCCCUGCAUGUACCCGCAGAAUAAGGACCGGCUAAUUCCGUG
rnacentral:rRNA from 1 species